UACAGAGGGUGCAAGCGUUAAUCGGAGUUACUGGGCGUAAAGGGCGCGUAGGCGGUCAUGUAAGUGAGAUGUGAAAUCCCUGGGCUUAACCUAGGAACUGCAUCUUAUACUGUAUGACUGGAGUACUGUAGAGGGUAGUGGAAUUUCCGGUGUAGCGGUGAAAUGCGUAGAGAUCGGAAGGAACACCAGUGGCGAAGGCGGGUCUCUGGACAGUUCCUGACGCUGAGGCACGAAGGUCAGGGGAGCAAACGGG
rnacentral:rRNA from 1 species